UGGCCAAGUCUAAAUGAGAUGCCGUGCUA
rnacentral:piRNA from 1 species